CUUAGAAGCAGCCAUCAUUUAAAGAAAGCGUAAUAGCUCACUGGUCGAGUCGGCCUGCGCGGAAGAUGUAACGGGGCUAAACCAUGCACCGAAGCUGCGGCAGCGACACUGUGUGUUGUUGGGUAGGGGAGCGUUCUGUAAGCCUGUGAAGGUGUGUCGUGAGGCAUGCUGGAGGUAUCAGAAGUGCGAAUGCUGACAUAAGUAACGAUAAAGCGGGUGAAAAGCCCGCUCGCCGGAAGACCAAGGGUUCCUGUCCAACGUUAAUCGGGGCAGGGUGAGUCGACCCCUAAGGCGAGGCCGAAAGGCGUAGUCGAUGGGAAACGGGUUAAUAUUCCCGUACUUGGUGUUACUGCGAAGGGGGGACGGAGAAGGCUAUGUUGGCCGGGCGACGGUUGUCCCGGUUUAAGCGUGUAGGUGUGUGUUCCAGGUAAAUCCGGUUCACUUUAACACUGAGGCGUGACGACGAGGCACUACGGUGCUGAAGCAACAAAUGCCCUGCUUCCAGGAAAAGCCUCUAAGCAUCAGGUAACAUCAAAUCGUACCCCAAACCGACACAGGUGGUCAGGUAGAGAAUACCAAGGCGCUUGAGAGAACUCGGGUGAAGGAACUAGGCAAAAUGGUGCCGUAACUUCGGGAGAAGGCACGCUGACACGUAGGUGAAGUGAUUUACUCAUGGAGCUGAAGUCAGUCGAAGAUACCAGCUGGCUGCAACUGUUUAUUAAAAACACAGCACUGUGCAAACACGAAAGUGGACGUAUACGGUGUGACGCCUGCCCGGUGCCGGAAGGUUAAUUGAUGGGGUCAGCGCAAGCGAAGCUCCUGAUCGAAGCCCCGGUAAACGGCGGCCGUAACUAUAACGGUCCUAAGGUAGCGAAAUUCCUUGUCGGGUAAGUUCCGACCUGCACGAAUGGCGUAAUGAUGGCCAGGCUGUCUCCACCCGAGACUCAGUGAAAUUGAACUCGCUGUGAAGAUGCAGUGUACCCGCGGCAAGACGGAAAGACCCCGUGAACCUUUACUAUAGCUUGACACUGAACAUUGAGCCUUGAUGUGUAGGAUAGGUGGGAGGCUUUGAAGUGUGGACGCCAGUCUGCAUGGAGCCGACCUUGAAAUACCACCCUUUAAUGUUUGAUGUUCUAACGUGGACCCGUUACCCGGGUUGCGGACAGUGUCUGGUGGGUAGUUUGACUGGGGCGGUCUCCUCCUAAAGAGUAACGGAGGAGCACG
rnacentral:rRNA from 2 species